GCUGACACAUCCCUGCCAAUCUCCGGCAGACCCUCCCUCCCAGACCCUUCCACCUCCUGGACAGCAUCCAUGUUGAAGCUGCCUUCAACAUGGAUGCUGUCCAGGAAGUAGGAAGGUCUCGGAGGGAGGGUCUGCUGGAGAUUGGCCGGGAUGUGUCAG